rnacentral:rRNA from 1 species
AUUGAACGCUGGCGGCAGGCCUAACACAUGCAAGUCGAGCGAGUGGCGGACGGGUGAGUAAUAUAUCGGAACGUGCCCAGUAGCGGGGGAUAACUACUCGAAAGAGUGGCUAAUACCGAAUACUCUUGGAGCGGCCGAUAUCGGAUUAGCUAGUUGGUGGGGUAAAGGCACACCAAGGCAACGAUCCGUAGCUGGUUUGAUGGGACGACCAGCCAAACUGGGACUGAGACACGGCCCAGACGCCUACGGGAUGCAGCAGUGGGGAAUUGUGGACAAUGGGGGAAACCCUGAUCCAGCCAUCCCGCGUGUAUGAGAAGGCCUUCGGGUUGUAAAGUACGGUUGGCAGAGAAGCGGUAUCUGCAGAAUAAGCACCGGCUAACUACGUGCCAGCAGCCGCGGUAAUUC